CAUGUUUCACUGAAUCGCCCUAAGUGCACUGUAGAAACAGCAUAAUUUGAGCUGAGAAUUUAAAAUUGUGAUGACUGACAGCCCCUCCUUCUGAGAAAUUGUGUCAGCGCAGAAAGGAGUCCCAGCCAGCUGCAGUGUCUUUCCUGCUGCUUGGGCAAGCAGAAACAGAGGUGGGAGCAGUCCAGCUACCAUGGGAGUCAGCGACUUGUAAACUGAGAGCAAGUGACCUGGGAUCAGCCAGAGGGAAGGACGUUGUCACAAGGUUGGUUUUACAAUGGUCUAGUGCAGCCAGAUUUAGGAUGCACUAAAUGAAGGAAAAAAGCCAAAGGUGUUACCAAAGGUUUGGAUGUGGCCAUGAGCUCCUGUUCUCCAAGACAAAGGAGAUGACAGAAGAGAAACAAAAAGGAUGUUUCAAAUGGGGAGGAUCUUGAUUUUAAGAGUCUUACCCCUGCUCCCACAAUCUAUUUCACUGUGAUGCCCUGGCACUUCUUUCCUCUCAUCAACCCCUUACUAUCUCACUAGAAACACCCUCUCAUCUGCUGAAAAAAAUAAAGCAUCUCCUGGAGCAACAAAACCCCUCAGCCAGAGCUAAA